rnacentral:rRNA from 1 species
UAAUUGAAGAGUUUGAUCAUGGCUCAGAUUGAACGCUGGCGGCAGGCCUAACACAUGCAAGUCGAACGGUAACAGGGAGCAGCUUGCUGCUCUGCUGACGAGUGGCGGACGGGUGAGUAAUGUCUGGGAAACUGCCUGAUGGAGGGGGAUAACUACUGGAAACGGUAGCUAAUACCGCAUAACGUCUACGGACCAAAGUGGGGGACCUUCGGGCCUCAUGCCAUCAGAUGUGCCCAGAUGGGAUUAGCUAGUAGGUGGGGUAACGGCUCACCUAGGC